AAAUUGAAGAGUUUGAUCAUGGCUCAGAUUGAACGCUGGCGGCAGGCCUAACACAUGCAAGUCGAGCGGUAGCACAGAGAGCUUGCUCUCGGGUGACGAGCGGCGGACGGGUGAGUAAUGUCUGGGAAACUGCCUGAUGGAGGGGGAUAACUACUGGAAACGGUAGCUAAUACCGCAUAAUGUCGCAAGACCAAAGUGGGGGACCUUCGGGCCUCAUGCCAUCAGAUGUGCCCAGAUGGGAUUAGCUAGUAGGUGGGGUAACGGCUCACCUAGGCGACGAUCCCUAGCUGGUCUGAGAGGAUGACCAGCCACACUGGAACUGAGACACGGUCCAGACUCCUACGGGAGGCAGCAGUGGGGAAUAUUGCACAAUGGGCGCAAGCCUGAUGCAGCCAUGCCGCGUGUGUGAAGAAGGCCUUCGGGUUGUAAAGCACUUUCAGCGGGGAGGAAGGCGGUGAGGUUAAUAACCUCAUCGAUUGACGUUACCCGCAGAAGAAGCACCGGCUAACUCCGUGCCAGCAGCCGCGGUAAUACGGAGGGUGCAAGCGUUAAUCGGAAUUACUGGGCGUAAAGCGCACGCAGG
rnacentral:rRNA from 1 species